UACUUUUACUUAUAACUAGGUGAAGAAGAAGGCCAUCACGAGAAGAAAAGAGCAACAGAAGAAGGAGAUGAUUCACAUGGUACCAGUGAGACUGAUACUGAUAGAACAUUCUGUGUGCAGAAUUGUUUGUAUGGUUGGACACCUGAUUCAAAAGGAGUUUGUUAUGCUUGUGGCAUGAGCUACUGUCUUAACUGUAGCAGAAUUGGUCACUGUACAAGAUGCCGUGAUGGUACUUUAGUCUAUAAAGAUCACUGCAUAGGAUUUUAUGAAUACGUAGAAGAAUUGAAUCUUGAAUUGGAGGAGGAAGAGGAAAGGGAAAAGCAGAAAUUUAAGACGGAACAAUUAGAAUUACAAAUAGCGCUGCC